CCGUUUCGCACCGAGUUUCCUCUUCACAAGGCACCAGAGGCAGCCGCGACUUUUCCCGUGUUAUUUCUGGCAGGCGUUUAGUCCCUCAGGUAUAAGAUUUUCGUGUAACAAGAAUCAGCUUCAUUCCUCCAGAUAUAAAGCAAAGAUGAAACAGAACUGUCAUGAGGCAACUGGAAAAAUACUGCACACAAAGUAUUAGUUCAUAAAUAAUAGAGUGAAUGUUCUACACUGGCUAGGAUCAAAGGCUACAAGUUCCAUUUCCAGCUCAGCCACAGACUGCUUAACACCACACCUCAACCCUUCUUCUGUUUGCUGUGGAUAAAAUACAGUGAGAUUCCUUAUGCUACAUUACAUUUGCUGGUAUAGCUAAGUAUUUAUAAUGAGAUAUGGAGCAUAACUGUACUUAAAAAUCUUGCCAUAAACACUUUUCACAGUUUCAACAACAACAAAAUGCCAUUUGCCUGUAUUAUUAUCAGCAGUAUUAACACAGUCAUACUUUACAAUGUACCACUGUAAAUAAAGACACAAAGAACUCAAGCUGUAAAGUACAACACUGAGGGGAAAAUGCAAGAGAUUCUGUCUUGUCAACAUAUAUAACCUUUUCACUGCCUGUAUGCAAACAUUCAAUGAUCUACAAGUGCUUGGAGCCACCAAAACAGAGUGGUCGGGGUGGGUGGGGAGAAUAACACUCAAACCCACCACUACCACCCUGAAAAUCAAAAAGAAGCACUCAGUUUGAGUUCAGUGUCAUGUUCCUGGCAAAAUGUCUGCUGAAGCACUACAGAGAUUUUUAUGGGCCUAGAGGAGACACUAAAGAAAUACAAACAAAUCAAUGAAUACCAGCAUUGAGAGAUAAACAGUUUCAAAUGCUUCGUAGUACUAGAAUCCCUUUGCAGCCAGAUUCAGUGCCAAGAUGAAGACUUGGAAGGCUUCUGUCAGGCUAUUUCCAAUUACAGUGGUUUAUGAAAACACAGGGGAUACAGUACGCCUUGAUGAGAAAAACCAGUGUGUAUAUAAGCUCAUCAUCCUUGAGCAGAAAGCACUGAGGAAAACAUCCCAUCUCUGCAUCUGACAAGCAGCAGUUUGGCAACAACCAGAGAGGUGGCUAUACAGCUACUGAGAAUGAGUUAUUACAGCAGAAUCUGAGCAUAUUUCUCUGCAGAACUCCCACACUUUAUCUACUUUGGAGCAUGGAAGAACUGAUAAUUUGCCAAAGCUACUUCUACUUUUCUGCUGCUUUCAAAUGUUUUUCCUGUAAUUCCUUUCUUAUUUUUGUGCCCUCCUGCACUGAAAAUAUUCUAAUACACAGUGACAGCACUUAGGGCUGAUUAAAGUGUUUGCAAGUGAUGACAAAAAUAUGCUCAAAGGGCAGAUGGCUUGCAAGGACAGAUCAGCAAAAGAGAAGGAAAAUAAUUUAUGAGCAGAACCUACUUUAAAUUUGCAGUAGAAUCAUUACCUUCACCAUCCUCAGUGCAUCAGGAAAGCAAAUUGUAAUUACAGAUGUGACAUAGCUCUUGCAUAUUUAAAAUCCUCAGUAAUUACUGCAGUGAAGGAAGUCAAGUCAAAUGCAGCAAGUCAAUUUUUUUUUCUUCCACAGAAAUAAAAGAGAUUUAAUAUUACCCUUGUCUAAAAUUCAUCCAAUUCUGUAAUUUAAUAUUUGUUUAAAUGAUAUUAGGCUUAAAAAAAUAAUAAAAAUCUGACUCCUGCACUUUAAAAAAAAUAAUCGCUUUAGGGAGACAAAAUGAACUUUUAAUGCAUGCUCUUUUUUCCUUUUUUCUUUUUAAAUGGGAGAUUGAUAACACAUUUUCAAUCUAGGCACUACGCCUGUGGGCAAUGUGCUGGCUUCAACAAUUCUCCAGCUACUACAGCCCUGUUAGGCACUGUGCCAGACAAUGCCUUAUCCAGAAGAACUAAAAACGGACUGUUGACUUCAGCUGUAGUCUUGCCCAAGCUAGGCUCGUAGUACUGGUUUCAAGACAAUCCUGUGGGGUACAGCCUGACAGUUCCUGUCAAGGUCAGGCUCUCUGCAUCAAAAAGUAAACAAGCCACACGCUUCAUGAGCUCCAGUGAGGUGCAAAAACUUCCCAUGAAUUCAUCUCCAGUGGCAGAAGAAAUUUUGACUGAAAUGAAAACAUGAAUGAACACCAGAGGAUCAGUAUGGGGUGGAACAUUGCUUGGGAACUCCAUUCUUUGAUACUUAGCACAGCAUCAGUUCCUCCUGAAUACAUGUCUGUGCUUAGAGCGCUCCUCACCUCUCCAUCACACUGCUGAACAAAGUAACAGGUUCCUUCUAAGGAACCAAAAUGAAGAUAACCAGUCUGUAAUUCCUCCUUUCAGCCUUUUAACAGGUAGACAAGAAAAAGCAUGAAUGCCACAUUUUUACCUCCAGCCUCAGCAGUUCCACCUGGUUCUCUGCAGUCUAAGUUUAGAGCAGAUCUUUCGACUACAAGCUGUUUGCAAGAUUCUUGCCAUCAUCUUGUGAAUGGAUGACAGUGGAUAAAAUCCAACACUGGACUCAAAAGUAAAACAAUUAUAUGUAGGAGUAUUAACAAAAUUUAUCCAACUUCAUCUUUUUUUUCUUGUUUGGCAUCUCUACCCCUUUGACAGCGUAGUAUAACAAAACCUGUAGAGCUCUGUCUGUUCAUUUGGGAACACAGCAAAUUUUACUGUGGCAUGUAGCAGUCUUCUAAAAAAAAUUCAGUUAUGAAACAGAUGUUCCUUCUUCCUUUACCAGGAGGAACAGCAGGGGAAGAAAAAUCAAAGACUAUUCUGAUCUUCAUACUCUGACCUAUGUCUACAAUUUGUUGCUAGCCACAGCUUUUAGAAAAUUCACACUUACAAACCACCAGUAAACAUGGUACAAAAUAAAGGCAAUAUGAAGAACAUUCAAGGAUGAGAAGGACUGUAUUACAUUUACUUCUGUGUGACUAAGCGUGUUAAUUUUCAGCAGCUACCUGCUUGUUGAGAAACAUGUUGAAACUUGAAGGUAGGGCAGUCACAAGAAUAUGCCUACUCUGCUUGAAAAUAUUAAGUUGUGCCAGUUUAAAAGCAAACAUUUAUGGCCAGAUCCUAUGGGAUUUAUUUUUGCAGUCUGCUCACAUGAGGGAAAAAAAUACAGUAUACAUUUCUAGCUUGCUAAAAGCUUUCAUUACAGCACUAGUUGACAAAGAGAAAGCUCAUGCCUUCUCCUUCACCACAGAUAAACUGACAAAUGUCACAUUGUUUAACAUUUGGACAUACUAAAAUGAAGCCAAAUAGAGCAUACUGGAAGCUGAAAACACUUUCCAGGCUCAGUUACAUGAAACUUUGUAGGUCUUCCACAGAAUCUUUAACCUCAUGAAGUUCAACAAGGAGAAGUGCAAAGUCCUGUACCCUUGGAAAAACAUCCCCAUGCACCAACAUAUGCCGGGGCCACUCAGCUGGAAAGCAGCUUGGCAGAAAAGGACCUUGGAGUCCUGGUGGACACCAAGGUGAAUAUGAACCAGCAGUAGGGCAAUAAGGCAAAUGGCAUCCUGGCCUGCAUUAGACUAAGUUUUGCCAUGUUAGGUCACACCUGGGGUACUAGGUCCAGUUCUGGCUUCUUUGGUACAAGAGAAAUACAGACACACUGGAGAGAGUCCUUCAAAGGAAUGCUAAGAUGAUCAAGGGACUGGAACAUCUUUCCUAUGAGGAAGGGCUGAGAGAGCUGGACUGCUCAGCCUGGAGAAGGUUCAGGAGGGUCUCACCAAUGUGUAUAAAUACCUGAACGGAGGGUAUAAAGGUGGAUUCAGGCUCUUUUCAGUGGCGCCCAGUGGCAUGAAAAAAGGCAAUGGACACAAAAAUGAAACACAGGAGGCUGUCCGAACAUCAGGAAACACCUUCCGACUGUGGCGGCGACUAACAGGUUGUCCAGGGAGUCUCCAGCCUUGGAGAUAUUCAAAAGCUGCCUGGCCAUGGAUCUGGGCAACUGGAUCUAGGGGAACUUGCUUGUGCAGAGGGGCUGGACCAGCAAACCUCCAGAGGUGCCUUCCAACCUCAGCCAUUCCGUGAUUCUCUAAAAGCUUCAAAAUUUUUAUGUGCACUUUACAGACACCAGAGUAGUAUUUCCAUAUUAUAAUGAUCUGAAAGUCAGGUUUUGUGCAUGUAUGCACAUAUGCACACAAACAUCUUCAUUCCUUUUAAAAGAUAAGACAAUCAGGAUUUAAUUAUUUUGCCAUUUCAAGAAUUUCACAUCCCAAGGCCUCCCAAAAAAACCCCACCUAGCUUGAAAAGUCAUGGUGAAUCUACUGCAUAUGAGCAGUUUCUGAGAGGGGAAAAGGACACUGUUAUUCCUGAGUUAAGAAUGUCAGAAUAGUCCAUCAAGCUAAUGAAGGAGUUGCCUGCUGAAAAAAGUCCCCAAUUUAAGAAAAAGAAUAAAGAAAAGCCUCAAAAGCCACCAAAGUUCUCCCCUGAAUUUUGUCAGCAUUCAAGUGACAUCCAUACUUCAGAAUUAACAGAAAUGUACCAGUUAACUGGGGCAUUAAAGCAACCUCUGUAGAGCUGGACAGUUUGUAAAGUUCAUUAGCACCCAGAUUACCUUCCUACAGACUCUUUGAGCCCCUCACAAUCGUCUGAAAGAUCAUUAGAUUCUGACACAUCGUUCUUAUAUAUCCAAAUGACCUUUCAGAUAUGCUCUUCAGGUUUCACUGUUAACACUGCAUGCCAAAUGUCACCAAAAUUUUUUCAAGUUAAGUGUCACCAGAAGACAUUUUGACAGGCCAUUUUGUCACUAGAUACAGCAACAGAAUUACGUUAUGCUGGAGGUGAGGAAGGGAGUGAAAGAGAGAAAAAGCAUCUGAUCCCUAGUCAGCGCAGCGUUACUUUUGGUAUCUUGCAUAGUUUGUCAGCAUAUACAUGGUGCUUUUUUGAGGAAGGAGAGGCCACUACUCCAUAUAGCUCAAUGCUCCUGGCAUCCUCAGUUUUGCAGGGCAUUUUAAGAGGUCAAGAGAGCUGGAGAAAACAGGCAGCAUGGGCUGCAUUAGAGGGCAGCUCCCCAGUUAUAAGUACUACCUAGGGUCCCCAAAAGGGCCAGCUUUUCCCAGAGUAACCAGUUUCAAUGAGUGCAGCCUGAUACACCGCUUUCCAAGACCUCACAUGUACUUUGGCACAUGACCACAGAAUAAUCUCAUCUCUUCUGAGGCGCAAGCUCAGCUUACACCCCAUCACACAGCAAAAAGCAGGGCACACACCACACGGUGCUCCAAGAUUGCCAGAAUGAACACAACCAGUCCUGUACCUCUAGGUGCAAAGAAGGCAGGCACACUAAUACUUCAAGAGGAUUAGGGGAGACGGGAAAGAGAAGGGGAAAGAUGCACUGUUUCAUCUUUACAAGUCUGAGUGUCCAUCCUUUGACUAGCUAGUCUUUUCCUUCUGAAGAACUUCAUGGAACAAGAUGACCCAAUUCAAACAAACACCAGAAAAAGUCUGCCAUAUUUUCUGAACCAACUGGUACAAAUGAAAACCAUGAGAAACUGAGUGUGAAUGAGCAAACCAUCAGAAGACAGAAACCUAUACAGCUUCGACAGCCAAGAACAAUUUGCCAUAAAAGGAGUUCCUGGUAACUGCCAGAAAGCUGAAAUAUUUCUAAGAAUUAUUCAGCAAGUGAACAAGUAGGAAACCUUGGGUCAGGACCACUUUCUAAUGCUUACCUCUUUCCGCUUUGAAAUUGUCGUCUUUUAUCAGCACCAUGAGCACGCAGGGCUUACAGAGGAAAAAGCUUCCCUAUCCUUAGGAGCAUGGCUGUGCCUUCAAAUGGGCUUCAGCAGCAUUUGGGAACAGUUCACCUGACUACCACCAACGUUACAGGGUGCUCACUGCACUAAAAUAGUGUCAGAAAAAUGUGAGAUUCCAGAGAAGCUGGACUUCUCAGAGCCAUACAACUCAUGGUGUUCAUUUCCUAUUAGACAGAGAGCUUACCAAUGGAAUUUUAAUGAACAGUCAUGACCAACCUGCUGGACAAGCAACAUAAAACAAUCUUUUCAUGCAAACAAAUUAUAACAUUAUAGGACUGCAGGAAAUUUCACAUCACACACACUGAACACAUGAACUAGACAGUGGUGCGUACGUGUGUGUGUCUGCUCUACAUGCUACCUGUCAAAGCAGACCGCCUAAAGCUUAGUCAGGAAGAGGCUUUAAAAACCUUGUGAAAAUACAGAUGAUAAAAGGAACUAAGAGGGUGGUACAAAGUAACUAGCUUCUCCAAAUAAAUACUCUGCACAGCUGUAAACUACAUUUCGAGUUCCUGGGGAAGCAGGAACAAAUCCUUAGAUAAAAACCACAUCUAUUUAAUGAAUAGAUACGUGGGAGCAAAGAAAGGGCUGACAUUUCUAAAGCAACAGACUUAAUGGUGCAUGGAAGUAUUUAAUUCCACAUUUUCAAUUACAUUUCCUGGCUUUCACUGUAUUUUUUUGGUUACAAUGCAAACUGCUUAGCCUAUUUGUCAGGGUUUGGGAGUACACAAAUCUGAACACUCUGAAGCCAUAAUGUAAGUCUGCAAAACUGGGUUGACUUUAUUCCAUCUACAAGCUUUACCCACCCAGGAAAGUUUCCAGAAACACAAGCUGAACCUUGAAGUUUGUUAGAUGCUCUUUCCCAGGCCUUUAUAAACCAAAAGCAAUAAAACACUGUAGGCAAAGCAUUCUGAUCUUAGACACCAUGUACAGUACUUACAGCAACCACCCUAUGGAAGUCUUGUUAUUGCUGCCUAUUAAAAAAAGAAAUCUGAAAACCAGAAA